GACAGAGGGUGCAAGCGUUGUUCGGAAUUAUUGGGCGUAAAGCGCGCGUAGGCGGCCCGAUAAGUCGAAUGUGAAAUCCCGUGGCUCAACCAUGGAAGUGCAUUCGAAACUGUCGGGCUCGAGUGUCGGAGAGGGUGGUGGAAUUCCCAGUGUAGAGGUGAAAUUCGUAGAUAUUGGGAGGAACACCAGUGGCGAAGGCGACCGCCUGGACGACAACUGACGCUGAGGCGCGAGAGCGUGGGGAGCAAACAGG
rnacentral:rRNA from 1 species